GACAGAGGGUGCAAACGUUGUUCGGAUUUACUGGGCGUAAAGCGCGUGUAGGCGGCUUUGCAAGUCGGAUGUGAAAUCCCACGGCUCAACCGUGGAAGUGCAUCCGAAACUGCAUCGCUGGAGUCUCGGAGAGGAAGGUGGAAUGCUUGGUGUAGAGGUGAAAUUCGUAGAUAUCAAGCAGAACACCUGCGGCGAAGGCGGCCUUCUGGACGAUGACUGACGCUGAGACGCGACAGCGUGGGGAGCAAACAGG
rnacentral:rRNA from 1 species